rnacentral:tRNA from 1 species
GUCGAUAAGAGCGGUGGUAGCUCAGUCGGGUGAGCGCCCGCUUCUCAAUCAAGAGAUGUGGGUUCGAUUCCCGGCGCUGACA